UCCAUUUGACAUCUAAAUGUCAUAGCGACUUUUGGGAUAGUUUGCUAUGGACAAAGGGGGACAAAGUCAAGGGGCGAGGGGGAAGGAGGGCCCAGUAGAGCCUCUACGAUUCUUGGCUGUCUCCUCACCAGCUCCCCUCCCCCCCAAGUCCUGUAAGAAGUUGGGCCAAGCUGGAAGGGAUUGACCGGGUUGCCUGUCGUGAGAUGGAGCCGCCAAGGCAGGGCCUGGGCGCCUGGAGUCCGGCAUGAAAGGAAAUAGCGCCUCAUCGCUCUUAUCUAAGCCCAGAGCCGCCGCCUCCUCGCCCUCGAGGGCCUCUGCGGAGAUUCCAGGCCCUCCAGAGACCCGGACGUCCCUCAGCGCCACCGCCCCUGUGCCAAUGCCGCUGGGAAACCGCCGAGACCCGCACCGGGCAAGAGAACUGCAGGGGGCCAACUGGGGGAGGCCGGAACGAGGGAGGGAAGGGGGGAGGGGGCGCACACCCACAGAGGCCAGAGCGACCGGCUUCUGGGCGCCCUGAAGCCCAGACACCCCUAUGCUGUCUUUCGCAGCCCCCUCUCUGGAGCCUCCUCUCUCAGCUUAAAAGGGCGACUUAGAGCUCGCCUCCGUGGCCCCUUUCGGUUCCUCCUCCCAUCUUCCCUGCCUUGGCUCCCCCUCCAGGAAGCAGCCACCCCUCUCUCUUUCUCAGCCACCGAAUUUCCUGGGAAGCCUCUCCCUGCAGCGCCCAGAGAUGGGGUUCAGCCCCGUCUUGGGGUGGGGGGAGAGGGAGACAAACCUAAGCCCCACCCCCUCCAAAAUCGAUGCAAAAGAAUAAGAAUUGUAGAAUCUCCCUUACCUUUGUAGACCUUGGGAUUUCUUCCCUCCGAUUGAAAGGGGUGAAGAGGAAGGGGGGGGGGAAGCGUUCUGUUUCUUCUUCAUCUUCCAGAUAAUAUUGUCCCAACCUGAGAGCCGUCGCUUCCCCUUCUCUGACUUGGGAGAGAGGGUGUUUCGCUUUUCUGAUAUUUGCAUAGAAAAUGGAGUAAGUUCUGGCUUUGAAAAAUGGUAUCAGGCUGCAGUCCUGGGCAGAUUGUCCAUUUACCCUCCAUGAUGACUAAAAUCCCAGAUCAGCAAGCAAAUCAACUUAGAAAUUAAAAUUAUUUUUGGUUCUCUCUUUUGUGUAAUUCCCACCCCUCCUUCUUUCUCUCUUUCUCUCUCUCUCUCUCUCUCUCUCUCUCUCUCCCUCCUUUCCCUCUCUCUUCCUCUCUCUCUUUUGCUUUAUCGAGCUGAUAUUGAAGUAUAAAAAUAUCAAGAGGCUGGAGCCCUGAAGGACGACAGUGCUCCGACCUAGGUGUGGUGUCCAAAAGAAUGCUGCAUUAUAACCACCAGGGAAAUGAUAAAAAGUUCAUGUUCACGAUCGCCCGGCCACAUGACCGGCGCCGGCCAAUCGCUGGAUUCAACCACUCAUAAACUUCUAUCACAAAGUUGUAAAUUUUCAUAAAACAACAAGGAAUUUAUUGCAUUUCUUCAUGGCUGCUCCACCAGCAACCCUUUUCUCGGUCGCCAUCUUCUUUUCUUCUCCUUCUCGCUAUUUGGGGAAACCCCAAUCUGAGAAGGGAUGAGAUUUGGGGUGCAGGGAAUCAGACUGAGGAGCCACAGGGGUCCAUCUGGAGAGGGGAUUCUCUCCAGAACCUCCCUAUUCUCACAGGAGCUCUGCCUCCCUCUUCUAGUAAGAAUUCACCCCAAAUCCUCCACACAGGGGCCAUUCUAAGGCAGUUUUGGGGUGAGUCGGGAGUAACAGCGGGUAUCCAAAAUUGCCACUUGCAUCAAGGCAAAAUGAAGGCUUCAGGGUCCCCUCUCCUCCUCUGAAUGCCCCCCUCAUUCCCAGCCCUCUAGAUGGUGGGACCCCCACCUGUGAGGCGUGUAGCAUUGCGGGUGUGGGGGUCUUAGAUCCCCUAGGGCCUAGUUUUCACCUAGGAAAGAAAGGCGGCCCUGACAGAGGCCAAGGUGGACAGCCUAGCAACCAGAGUCUCGCCUCUGCACCCCAGAAACUGGAAGAGGGUGAAGCCAGAUCCCUGCCUCUUCCACCCAAAUGCCCACAUGCUCAGGUUCCCAAUGACAGCUCCAUGUGCUCUCCAGGGGGUUCUGCGGUCAUUAAUGGGGGAAAGUGCCGGUUCAGGGGGACUUUUACCUACAAAUUCAAAUUAAAGAGAUUCUCCUAAAACGCGCUUCCAUUCAAACCUGCUUCUUUCUUUCUGUCCCAAAACCUGUUCUUUGCAUUUAAAUAAUCCAAGGUCUGUAAUCGAAUAAAUUCUAAAAAUCAGCUCCACAGGUCUAGAUGCGUAGGCACCGUCCUCCAGGUUUAUGUUCCUCAAUCAAGGGGUGUUUUGGAGGAAAAAACCCUACAAAACAAACAAAAAAAUCUCCACCGCCACCAAACAGAAUUCACCCCGUGUUUCCCAGGGCCCCUGAAAUACUGCUGUAUUUUGAAUUGAGCUACCAGCGCCCAAGUGCAGGAAACGAAAUAACAUCCCCCAAAAAACGUUUUCUCUUUUUUCUCUCUUUCUCUGUAUUCCCGAGGAGAUUCCAGGUUGCCGGCAGCGCGGACCGCGGGCAGCAAGGCGCGGAGGGAGCCCGCGGAGCUUGGGCGGGCGGCGCGGCCGGGCUCCGAGCGGCCGGGAUGCGGCCACACCAGCCGGGUAAACUUGCACCGCUCAGACUCUCGUUCUCAGGGCUCAUCCACUCCCCCACCUCCCCACGUAAAAAUUUUAUUUGGAUCGCUGUGUUAAUUUAGAAUGAGAUAAAUUAAAGUAAAUGAAAGCAAAAUGAGUUGCAAUAAAGUCACCGAAUAGCUCUUGCGGAAGAUGCUUGCUCGUUGGGCGGAAGCCGGGAGCGCCCUGGCGUUGGAGGCCUCUUCGGGCAGGCGGUGUCUGCUAGCCGCCCCGCUUCUGCCCAACGCUGCCCGCCCCACCCCCAGAAGCGGGAGUGGAUCUGGGUGGUCACCUUCCCU